rnacentral:rRNA from 1 species
AUUGAACGCUGGCGGCAGGCCUAACACAUGCAAGUCGAGCGGAGCGGCGGACGGGCGAGUAAUGACUAGGAAUCUGCCUGGUCGUGGGGGAUAACGUACGGAAACGGGCGCUAAUAUCGCAUACUAUCAGAUGAGCCUAGGUCGUGUUAGCUCGUUGGUGGGGUAAAGGCCUACCAAGACGACGAUCCGUAACUGGUCUGAGAGGAUGAUCAGUCACACUGGAACUGAGACACGGUCCAGACUCCUACGGGAGGCAGCAGUGGGGAAUAUUGGACAAUGGGCGAAAGCCUGAUCCAGCCAUGCCGCGUGUGUGAAGAAGGUCUUCGGAUUGUAAAGCACUGUAAGUUGGGAGGCGUUACCAACAGAAUAAGCACCGGCUAACUUCGUGCCAGCAGCCGCGGUAAUUC